GCUCGCAAAUCGCAGUGAUCGUUCACUAAUGCAUUAUGAUCUUUUAAGUAAGGAGGAAAAAAAUCAAGUGCCUCCGACCAGUGAAAGACAUUAAAAGUGUAAUGAUCCGAUCAUAGCCACACCGACACGCUAUAAUCGUGUGCGCAGGCACAACACUAGCGCUACUCAUUGAACGCCUCGGACGUGGAAAUCUCAAGUAGAUUGCAAUCAGCUUUGUUGAGUCUUCAAAUGUUAUAAAUGUCCUUAGCCGAAACUUGACGAAAAUUGACAAGAGCAGCAAACGAGUAUAGAUACAUAUCUCAGGAUCGACGUGGUACGCGGUUUAGUGCACGUGACCAAUCGAAGAAAGCAGCAGACUACAAGAGCGCCUGAAGCGAUUAAAAAAUUUCAGAGACUUUCAUCCGAAGCUGAUUACGUCUGCAAUUCGGCAGCGACCCAAUGUUUAUGACAACAAUAACUGCAUUAAUCCGUUCUAUAUUGCAUUACAUACGCAUCUGCAAAUUGUAGCAACAGAAUGUGCAUACAUGCUGCGGAUACACUAUAGAACUACAAGUACAGUCAUAACCAUGCGAGAAAGAAGACUUACAGUAUCUCACAAUUGCGAAGAUGCGCAUAAAUUAUCCCAUCACCGCAACAAAUCAUUCAAAAACGCCUAGGAGAAGAACUCAGCAAGGUCAAGAUCGAAAGCGAGAUCGACCAAGAUUUGUUUCCAUCAUCUAUGCUAAUGAUGCAAACUGCAAAAAUUAACGUUUCUCAUAGAAUUCGCA